UCGAUAAAUGAGAGUUAUGGACCUAGCACAUGUUGUAUAAACCUUGACAACUAUGGACUUAGUGCCUGUUGUAUAAACCCUGGCAGCUAUGGACUUAGUGCUUGUUGUAUAAACCCUGGCAGCUAUGGACUUAGUGCUUGUUGUAUAAACCCUGACAGCUAUGGAUUUAGUGCUUGUUGUAUAAAUCCUAGCGACAAUGUACUUCAUGCCUAUUCCUUAGGAUGAAUCAUGAGGAAUUAGUGAUAGAUGAUUCUUAGGGUAAAUCCUUAAGAAAUAAUCAUGACAAUGGGGAUACGUAAUUGGGUUAAUUGUUUGAUGAUAAAACACAAAAACUUUAUUAUAGUGGGUUGAAAAUCCUAUGUACUCACUAGGUUUCCC
rnacentral:lncRNA from 1 species